GCCGAACCGUGCGAACGUUGUUCGGAAUCACUGGGCUUAAAGGGCGCGUAGGCGGGCUGACAAGUCUGGGGUGAAAUGCCGCGGCUCAACCGUGGAACUGCCUUAGAUACUGUCGGCCUCGAGGAAGGUAGGGGCAUGCGGAACUGUAGGUGGAGCGGUGAAAUGCGUUGAUAUCUACAGGAACUCCGGUGGCGAAAGCGGCGUGCUGGACCUUUUCUGACGCUGAGGCGCGAAAGCUAGGGGAGCAAACGGG
rnacentral:rRNA from 1 species